GCUCAGGAUGAACGCUGGCAGCAUGGAUAAGGCAUGUAAGUCGUCCGUCCAAUUUUUUGGAUUUUAUUUUUUUAAACUAAAAUGUUUGAAUUAAAAUCCGGCAAUUUGGACGGAGGCAAACGGGCUAGUAACAGGUGAGAAUCUACCCCAAAGCAUGGAAUAACCCGGAGAAAUCCGGGAUAAUACCGUAUGUGCUCGCCUAACUUUUUAGAUGUUAAUAAAAAAUUAUCUGUUUUGAUUAAUAUUUAAAAAAUUAGGCGAGCAAAGAUUUCGGUCGCUUUGGGAGGAGCUCGCUUACUAUCAGCUUGUUGGUAGGGUAAUGGCCUACCAAGGCUAUGACGGUUAGCGGGGAGUGAGAGCAUGACCCCCAGCAUUGUCACUGAAACACUGGCCAAACACCUACGGAUGGCUGCAGUCGAGAAUCUUCUAUAACGGUGGAAACCCCGAUGGAUCGAUGCUGCGUGCGGUAUGAAGGCCUUCGGCUUUGUAAUUCCGCUUUUGUUGGGGAAGAAAUUUUUUAAUGGUACCCUUUCUAUUUACGUUAUGCUAACUCUGUGCCAGCAGCAGCGGUAAUACAGAGACCUCAAGCGUUAUCCGGAUUUACUGGGCGUAAAGCGUCUGUAGGGGGUUUAUUAAGUUCCAAGUAAAAUUUCAAGGCUCAACUUUGAAUUCGCUUGGAAAACUAAUAAACUGGAGUCUAGCAGAGGUGCAUGGAACUUGUGGUGUAGGAGUGAAAUCCGUUGAUAUCACAAGGAACACCAAAGGCGAAGGCAUUGCACUGGGCUAGCACUGACCCUGAGAGACGAAAGCGUGGGGAGCAAAACGGAUUAGAUACCCGUGUAGUCCACGCCCUAAACGAUGAAUGCUAAAUGUUCGGGGAUUCGACCCCCUGGGUGUUACAGCUAACGCGUUAAGCAUUCCGCCUGGGAAGUACGGCCGCAAGGCUAAAACUCAAAGGAAUAGACGGGGAUCCGCACAAGCGGUGGAGCGUCUGGUUUAAUUCGACAGUAAGCGUGGUACCUCACCAGGGUUUGACAUCCCUUGACAGUCUUGGAAACAAGGUUUCCUUCGGGCAAGGUGACAGGUGCUGCAUGGUCGUCGUCAGUUCGUGCCGUGAGGUGUUCCGUUAAGUCGGGAAACGAACGAAACCCCUAUUGCAUGUUACAAUUCCUCAUGCAAGACUGCCCGGAUAUACUGGGAGGAAGGUGGGGAUGACGUCAGAUCUGCAUGGUCCUUAUACCCUGGGCGACACAGGCGCUACAAUGGCAGAGACAAAGGGUUGCAAAACCGCAAGGUGAAGCUAAUCCCAAAAACUUUGUCUAAGUUCGGAUUGAAGGCUGCAAUUCGCCUUCAUGAAGCUGGAAUCGCUAGUAAUCGUGAAUCAGCCACGUCACGGUGAAUAUGUUCCCGGAUCUUGCA
rnacentral:rRNA from 1 species